rnacentral:rRNA from 1 species
GCUUUAUAAUUUUAUUUUAUUAUUUAUAAAGAAUAAUUAAAAUUUUAUUAAAAAAAUUAUUUUGUUGGGGUGACAAUAAAAUUUAAUUAACUUUUAUUAUUAUAUUACAUUGAUUUAUGAGCUUUAGAUCCAUUUUUAAUGAUUAAAAAAUUAAGU